rnacentral:rRNA from 1 species
GAUGAACGCUGGCGGCGUGCCUAAUACAUGCAAGUCGAGCGAACAGACGAGGCGCUUGCUCCUCUGACGUUAGCCGCGGACGGGUGAGUAACACGUGGAUAACCUACCUAUCAUACUGGGAUAACUUCGGGAAACCGGAGCUAAUACCGGAUAAUAUAUUGAACCGCAUUGUUCAAUAGUGAAAGACGGUUUUGCUGUCACUUCUAGAUGGAUCCGCGCCGCAUUAGCUAGUUGGUAAGGUAACGGCUUACCAAGGCAACGAUGCGUAGCCGACCUGAGAGGGGGAUCGGCCACAUUGGAGCUGAGACACGGUCAAGACUCCUACGGGAGGCAGCAGUAGGGAAUCGUCCGCAAUGGGCGAAAGCCUGACGGAGCAACGCCGAGUGAGUGAUGAAGGUCUUCGGAUCGUAAAACUCUGUUAUUAGGGAAGAACAAAUGUGUAAGUAACUAUGCACGUCUUGACGGUACCGAAUCAGAAAGCCACGGCUAACUACGUG